CAUGUCUUUUUGAUAAUAAUUUAAAGUUUAAUCUGCUCAAUGAAAUUAAAUAGCCGCAGUAUUUUAACUGUGCAAAGGUAGCAUAAUAAUUAGUUCUUUGAAUGGGGGAUUGUAUGAAUGAUUGGACGAAAAAAUUUCUGUCUUAAUUAAAUUGAUUUUUGAAAUUUAUUUUUAAGUUAAAAAGCUUAAAUAUUUUUAAAAGACGAGAAGACCCUAUAGAGUUUGAUAUUUAAAAUUUGUUUUAUUUUAGUAAAGAAAUAAUUUUUUAUUUAUUUAGUUGGGGUGACUUGAAGAUUAAAAAAAUUCUUUAAAAAUUAAAUUGAUGAUAUUUAAAUUUUGAGUUAAUAAGUUAAAAACAAAUUACCUUAGGGAUAACAGCGUAAUAUUUCUUGAGAGCUCAUAUUUAAAGAAAUUUUUGCGACCUCGAUGUUGGAUUAAAAUUUAUUUUUGGAGCAGUUGCUGAAAAAUUAGGUCUGUUCGACCUUUAAAAUUUUACAUGAUCUGAGUUUAGACCGGCGUGAGCCAGGUUGGAUUCUAUCUUUAUAAUAAUUUUUUAUUUUAGUACGAAAGGACCAAGUAAAAUUUAUAUUUAA
rnacentral:rRNA from 1 species